rnacentral:lncRNA from 1 species
AUUUUGGAGAGAACUUCAAUGGGGGUUUCAUCAAGCAUCAAAGGUAAGUUGUUUCUACUUAUUUCCAAGUUAAAUAUAUGGAUUUGAGUGGAGAGAAUUUCAAGGGGGAUUUCAUCAAGCAUCAAACGUAAGUUGUUUCUAGUUAUUUCCAAGUUAAAUAUAUGGAUUUGGGCAUAAAAAUCGUAAAAAAAAAUUGAAGAUUGUGGCAUAGGGAUUUGAAAAUAAGAUUUGGUGAUUUGAGGGGUCAAAUGAACUCCGAUUUUGAUAAAUUUUAUAUGUACAGACUCGUGGAGAGACGCGAAUUCCUGUGAUGUGACUUUCCUAAUUUUUCAAGAAGCGGGUCUGGGGCUCGGGUUUUGCUACUUAAGACAAGGAAUCCGGUGAUGUGACUUUCGUGAUUUUUCGGGAAGUGGGUCCGGGUUUUGUAAAUUUCGUGAAUUUCAAUAUUUUUCGAGUCUUUUUUAUUGGGUUAUGUUACCUUAGCCUAUUGUAAUGUAUUCGUUGUGGUUUAGGCCAGAUUCGACGCACGAGGACGUUGAUACAAAAGGAAAGGGAAUCCCGGAAUAGUAAUUGGCAGGCUAUAGGUGAGUAAUAGAUGUAAAUGUUGUUAUGAGGGUUUGAAACCCCGGACUUUCACAUUGUAACGCUAUAUUGAGGUGUGACAUGCACUCUUUGAAAAAUGCGGGGUCGGAUACUCUUGGGGAUCGUGACUUGGUCCAUCCCGUGUGAUAUUUAUAUUAUACUUGUGAUUGAUACACAUACUUUAUUGAUAUUUUCUGGGCUUGAUGCCAUGUUUGGGGCCUUGUGCCGACUUGUAGAAUUUUUCGGGGAUCGAUAUUACUGCUUUUGCAUGAUUUGCCUAUCAUUUGAUUUCAGUCCAAGGUUUUAAAUUCUGUUUUGCACACUUAGCCACAAUUCUAAGUGCUGAAAAUUCAAAAGAUAAUUUAAAUAUUAUUUCAGGCUGAGAACUACUGUUUUAUAAAUGCCCAAGUGACUUAUUAUAUUAUUUUCUAGACUGUUUAUAAAGUGACUUUAAACAGUUGUAACAAUGACACUUUAUGAUAUACUUGAAACAGUGGUAACAAUAACACUGUAUAAUAUUUGAAACAGUGGUAACAAUGACACUGUAUGAUAUACUUGGAACAGUGGUAACAAUGGCACUGUAUGAUGUAAAUUGGUCAGGUAACAAUGGCUGACCGGUCAGGUAACAAUGACUGACCAAGAUAUUGCGCUUGGGCUGUUGGAGCCCCUUCGGAGUCUGUACACACCCCUAGUAAGCGCCGUCGACGAUAAAUAAAUAUGGAUGGCUCGGGCUACACGCUGCAGUAGGUACUGGAAUGUACCAUCAUAUGCAUUGCAUUGCGUUCAUGUAUUUGUAUCUAUGCUGUUGUUUAGCUGCUCAAUUCCAUAUGUUGCAGUAUAUUGGAUUUUAGCUUACCUUGUGUAUUUACUGUGAUUUCUUAUCUUCAGACUGCAUUUUAUUGAAUUUAUGCAUUGCAUUGCGUUCAUGUAUUUGUAUCUAUGCUGUUGUUUAGCUGCUCAAUUCCAUAUGUUGCAGUAUAUUGGAUUUUAGCUUACCUUGUGUAUUUACUGUGAUUUCUUAUCUUCGGACUAUAUUUGAUUGAAUUACUCACUGGGUCGGAAUACUCACUUUAAUCUCUGCACCUUGUGUGCAGAUCUUGGGCAGUCUCAUGCACAGUAGAUCUAGUUGAUCAGCGGAUCCAGCAUUUCGGGAGUAUCAGGGUAGCUGCACGACAUUUGCAGCAUUGAUUUCUUCCCUCCUCUCCUAUCCUUUUUAUUUUCGCAUUUUUAGACUUUGGAUACACUAUGUAUCAGGGUAAUAUUCUGUAUUCUAAAGGCUCAUAUUCGUAAC